rnacentral:snoRNA from 1 species
GCAUAGUGGUGGAUUUACGGUGGGUUCUCCUGUGUGUGCCUUUCAUAGUGUACCCAUGUGACAGCAAAGUGUGGCCUUGAACCACUGCUCAGCCUCUGCUGUGGGCGGUGAGCACCAAAGGAGGCGGUACAGUU